GCGUUCACACGAUCUUACAAAAGACUGUACAUGCUGCCUGAGAUUCCUAAUAUAAAAUGAAUUCAUGAGGAAUUGAAUGGUGCUUGCUAUGUGCCUGACUGAUGAAAAUAAAUCAGCUUGCUUCAAGUAUGCCUAUUCUUCAAGUAUGCCUAUUCUCCCCUCUUUAGAGAACAGAUCAUUUUGAUCUUUCUCUAAACCUUGUUUAAUCCAAAAGACAGAUUCUGGGUAUUAAAAAAAAAGAAUCUCAUAACCACUGAAGCGCUGGGCUGUCAUGUGUUGUGUGGUGAGAUUUGUCAGCUGAGUGACCUGGUGACUGGCAUGAAGUAUUGUAGGAUGCCCUAGUGUGAUAGUAGUAGCAGUUUCAACAGCCAUUGCACAUGCUAUCAAUGCUCUGAGACACGCCGGCAUACCCUGUACCGGAGCUCGAACUACUUUGGAAAAGAAUGCUAUGGGACGCAUACCGCCUCCUUGCUCUUGUGCACAGACUGCGGCCAUGGUUUUACAAUUGUCCCAAGCAUACAAAUGAAAUGGUUUACAAUACACAGGUAGUCCUAAAGCCUGGGCUUGCACAAUAACAACUGUAAGGGCAAUAUAUGCAGAUAGCAUGUCUGGUGACCAGCAGACAUUUUCAGGGCUGUCAGAACGUACAGCCUCCCUUAGGAUUGAGUCAUAAUGGGAACAUUCAGGGAUCCAUUGGUGGCAGUAAUUAAUCAUGCCGAGGAAGGUGAGCAACUCCUUCCGAGUAGUGGGUGUUGGAAUCCUCUGAAUGACCUCAAUACGUUUUGGACUCAAUUGUCUGGUGCCUAAAGCCAGAACAAAACCUAAGUAUUCAACCUUUGAUUUACACAAUUGCAUUUUGUGUUUAACAACCUUGUGACCCACAGUUGCUGACAGUAUCCACAGUGCUUGCCUCAUAGCUAGGGCUACAUAACAACAAAUCAUCAACAUUUUGCAAAAAGGACAGAACCAUGACCGGUGGUCCAUGUUUUUUAGAGUAUGUUGGAGUACCAACGAAUAAACAGCUGGGGAAUCCACAUAGCCUUGGGUAAGCGUGUCCAGGUAAACUGACAGCCUUCAAAAAGUAAAAACCAUAAGUAGCUGUGUCUCUUGAUCAAUAGGUAUAGAAAAAAAAUGCAUUACUUAAAUCAAUGACAGUGAAGCAAGUGGCAUCAUGUGGAAUGGCUGUAAUGAGGGAUGUCACAUCAGGGACAAUGGGUGAAAUGGGCACAAUUAAACUAUUCAGGGCUCUAAAGUCCUGAACUAAGCGAUAUGCUGGCCAGUGGUGUUGGGAGUGGGUCUGGUGUUGUUCUUGCCUACCGGGCAUAUUUUGAGAAUUGUGGGGUUGUUGGGGUGUGUGGGGUUUCCUGGGGU